rnacentral:tRNA from 1 species
GGGGCUGUGGCGAAAUUUGGCAGACGCGCCGCACUUAGGAUGCGGUGUCCAGGCGUGGAGGUUCGAAUCCUCUCAGCCCCA